rnacentral:rRNA from 1 species
UACGUAGGUGGCUAGCGUUGUCCGGAUUACUGGGCGUAAAGAGCGCGCAGGCGUCGUUCAAGUCGAGUGUGAAAGCCCCCCGGCUCAACUGGGGGAGGGUCACUCGAUACUGAUCGACUUGAAAGGCGGGAGAGGGGAACGGAUCCCGGUGUAGUGGUGAAUGACGUAGAUAUCUGGAGGACACCGGGUGGCGAGGCGGCAUCCUGGACCGACACUGACACUGAGG